rnacentral:lncRNA from 1 species
CACCAUCCUCCUCCGAGAACGUUGGCCACCAGGCCCCACGUUGCACAGAUCCCGAGGGACCACCCACUCCUGCCAAUGACUACAUGGGUGCUCUUCAGACAGAAUGCUUCUGUGGAAAUGUGUGUUUCUCGAUUCACAUGGGCAGAUCAGUCCAAUGUCACAGAAAGAGAUGUGUUCUCUCUCCUACGGAGUUCUAUGAAGCUCUAGAUGGAGGGGUGCUUUGAAGUCAAACUGUAACCUCCCUUUCGUUGCAGUUUCCUUCCUCAUCUUCAUCCUCUGAUGGUAUCUGUCUGAUCAUAGUCUCAACACAGAGGAGAAACUCUCCAGAAAAUCACCAGCCAAAGAGGCAGUAUUCUCUCUAGACAGAACAUUUGAUAAAGAAGGAUGUCAAGUGGAUAAACACAUUUUAUUGAAUUCCUUAAAGAUUUUUAAAAAUUACUUUGGAAUAGAUCACCCUAGCCUCAUGUAUUAAAUGACUUAGAGUAUGGUAAUUUUUUUUUUUUUUUUUUGCUAUAUGCAUUUACCACACUUAUCUUUAGUAUUUUUUAUUCAAAGAUGGUUUCACAAUUUUUAAAAUAUAAAAUGUAAACUAAAAUCAUUUGAUUUGCUUAAAUAUCAUAUGUCCAUUUUUUGUCCCUAAUUUUUAAUACUCUUAUGCCUGGAUUUCUAAGUUUAUGCCUGGAUUUCUAAGUUUAUACCAGGUCUUCUCAGAAGAGCUUUAGAGUAGGCCUCUGAGUUCUUUGAUGUGAACUCUGCUUUGAGCUUGGAAAUGUUUCCUUAGUAUAUUUGCUUCUCCACUGGCUCUGUAUCAGCUUGACUCCUCCCAAGUGUAUAUUGAAGGAGUUGUGCUAACUGGCAAAUUUGUUGUUCAUCGUUAUGUCAGGGCUAGGAAAGUGGGACCCUGUGAGUUCAAGCCUUCAGGUACUCUUUCUCUGCAAGAUUCCCCUCAAGGCUUAAUACUCUCAAUUCAGAGAAUCAUAGAAUAUUAGAAUGAGGAGAGAUCUUCAAGGUCAUCUAGACCCAUGCCACUCAAGAACUAAAGCACAAGUACCACCUGGGAACUUGCUAGGAAUGAAGAAUCUCGGGAGCCACUCAGACCUACUGAAUCAGAAUCUUCAUUAGAACAACAAGAUUGCAAGAGAUGAAGUGUCCAUGUUAGUGUCUGAGAAGGGCUGCUCCAGACAGCCCCUUAUCCAGUGGAGAAAUUGUAUCUGCAGCAUUUUCCAAAUGGUGGUCCCCUCGGGCUCAGACGUCUUCACCUUCAGGCUUUGGGAUACAGAUCAGUGAUUCUAGAUCAAGAUUCCUAACUCUGACUGCAUAUUAAAAUCACCUGGUGAGUUUUUAAAAAUUCCAAUGUUGAGGUCUUACUUUGGACUAAUAAAAUCUGAACCUCUGGCA